rnacentral:rRNA from 1 species
UAAGGAAUAUUGCUCAAUGGGAGAAAUCCUGAAGCAGCAACGCCGCGUGGAGGAUGAAGGGUUUUAACUUGUAAACUCCUGUAAAGAAGGAAAAAAUUCCCGUUAGAUGGGAAAUGAUGGUACUUCUGGAGUAAGCCCCGGCUAACUACGUGCCAGCAGCCGCGGUAAUACGUAGGGGGCAAGCGUUGUCCGGAUUUACUGGGUGUAAAGGGUGCUCAGGCGGAUUUGUAAGUCAGAGGUGAAAUCUCACAGCUUAACUGUGAAACUGCCUUUGAUACUGCAAGCCUAGAGUAUGGAAGAGAGUGAUGGAAUAUCUGGUGUAGCAGUGAAAUGCGUAGAUAUCAGAUAGAACACCAAUGGCGAAGGCAGUCACUUGGUCCAUAACUGACGCUAAAGCACGAAAGCGUGGGUAGCAAACAGGAUUAGAUACCCUGGUAGUCCACGCCCUAAACGAUGAAUACUAGAUGUUGGCUUCGCAUGAAGUCAGUAUCUGAGCUAACGCAUUAAGUAUUCCACCUGGGAAGUACGAUCGCAAGGUUGAAACUUAAAUGAAUUGACGGGGUCAUAGCUGUUUCCUG